CCUCGGGACGUUAAUCGCGGGCGGACCGGUCGGUGACCACAGAACAACACUUGCCCUUAAUUUGUCUUCAGUGGAAUUGACCUCACCUUUAAAUAUUGUUAUUAUAUUUAUCGAUACGGAUAUUAAAACACCGCCAUGUCUCUCGCGGCAGAGGCCUUUGUGUCGCAGAUGGCAGCUGCUGAGCCCUGGCCUGAAACUGCAACCUUGUACCAGCCGCUGAAGGAGGAUCAGAUUCUGCUGUCAGACUGCGCCUCGUCUCUGGCUGUUCAGGCCUACCUCAGGAUGUGCGGUCUACCUGUGCAGGUGGUUUGCAGAGCAAAUGCUGAGUACAUGUCUCCCUCUGGUGAGUUU